UACAGGGGGUGCAAACGUUGCUCGGAAUCACUGGGCGUAAAGGGCGCGUAGGCGGGAAUGUAAGUCGGGCGUGAAAUCCCCAGGCUCAACCUGGGAACUGCACUCGAAACUGCGUUUCUUGAGUAUCGGAGAGGAAAGCGGAAUUCCUGGUGUAGAGGUGAAAUUCGUAGAUAUCAGGAGGAACACCAGUGGCGAAGGCGGCUUUCUGGACGGUAACUGACGCUGAGGCGCGAAAGCGUGGGGAGCAAACAGG
rnacentral:rRNA from 1 species